GGGAGCCCUUCCCGAGCGCCGCCCGCCCCCGCCCGGUCCCCGUAGCGGCCGGGCCGAGGGGGGCGAGCGGCCCCGGCGGGAGGCGGACGGGGAGCCACUUACUGCGCCGCUGCCCCGCGGGGGGACUUCGCCUCUUCCCGGCUCUUCCCGGCUCGACAGGGGACCCAGCUCCUGCGAUCGCGGCCGCGGCGAGUCGGGACGGCGCAGGGCUCCUCGCAGAUGAAGCCCUUUUUAUCCCAUGGAAAAUGUGUGGUCAGGAAGGAGACGAUAUAUCUGUGGAAACUUGUCCAUGAAGAGGUGGAGCCAUAUAAAUUUCUACAAGUGCUGACUAUUUUCUGAAGUGAAUUUGGAGGAUGUUCCUGAGUGUUCCUAACCCAUAUGGCCUGGGUAUUUUUGCCAUCUACUGUAUAUUGGAUUUUUCUCCUCGGUCAGGUCCUGUACCAAAGCGUUGUGCAAACUUGUGGAUAUGACUUCAGGAAGUUCAAUUGUAAAGUAAAUCGUCAAAUGCCUACAUUGAUAACAGUGGUUCUGGGCCUGAAAGAGAAGGAGACGAGAUGCUUGUGUGCUGUUAAAAUUGAAGCCCUGUUAAAUGGAGUUGCAUAUACUGACAAGUUCUCUUUUGUUUCAAAUCCUCUGGAUGUACAGUUUCUCUCCCGUCAAUGAAAACACAGUGCUGUGAGUUUGGAGAAGCCAUAGAUAAGAGAAACAACAAGGAUAAGAGAAACGAGGCUAAAAUCAAUAACUUCAAGCAAACACACACUUUGAGGACCAGAGCCAAUAAAGAUGGGAGGCAAGUCUUUCUUGGAGUAAAC
rnacentral:lncRNA from 1 species